CUUUCCAACAUGCAGUGAUUGGUUACAGAAUGUGCUGGGGCUGAAGGUUGUAGAUAUUGCCAGCAGUGAUUUCCCUCUCCAAGAAUCAGAUCUUUGCCAUAAGUACCUUUAAAAAAUCUUUGGGAAUAUAGUACAGAGUCAGUGGAUAUAUGUCCAGUGGUAAAUGGAUGGUAAAUGACCACAUGGAGAGAAUGAACCAGCCAUGACAGAUUCUCAUUAGCAGAUCAUUGUUGAAGACAUUGAAUAGCAUCAGGACACAGUCUCUGUGGGACUUCCACUAGAAACAUCCCAAUCGCACGACAUCCCAUUUACAAUUACUUUUUGGGAUCUAUCAGCAGAGAGAUCUGAUGGAGUCUAUGGAGGUUACAGGUCU